GACACAAGUAUUGUAUUCAUGUGUAUGCUCUAUUGAUUUACCAAAAUAUGGUGGGUCUAUUGUUAGACAUCAGAUGAUUGACCGUAGCCGAGAAGCACGAUACUUGAGAUUAUACCAUGAUUACUUCUCUGAUAAUUCAACUUAUGGGCCGAUUUAUUUUAGGCGCAGGUUUAGAAUGAGCCGUUCUCUCUUUUACGCAUAAUGAAUGCAGUAGAGCAACAUGAUGACUAUUUUGUGUAGAAAAGAAAUGCAGCUGGCAUACUUGGAUUAAUUUGUUUGCAGAAGGUCACUGCAGCGCUGCGUCAAUUGUCUUAUGGUGUAGCUGCAGAUGCUGUAGAUGAUUAUUGUGGCCUUGGUGAAAGUACCGCUCUUGAGAGUUUGAGAAUGUUUGUUAAAUCAGUUGUUGGAGUUUUUGAAUAGGAGUACUUAAGAUCACCUAAUGCGAAUGAUACAACUCGAUUAUUUGCACUUGCAAAGAAAAGAGGGUUCCCGGAAAUGUUAGGUUCUAUAGAUUGCAUGCAUUGGAAGUGGAAGAAUUGUCCUUUAGCAUUUCAAGGUAUUUACUCCGGCCACUUGCAUGAGCCUACAAUAAUAUUAGAAGCUGUUGCUGCAAAGGAUCUCUGGAUUUGGCAUGCCUUUUUUUGUCUACCGGGGUCUCAUAAUGAUAUCAAUGUGCUACAUCGGUCUCCAUUAUUUGCAAAGCUAGCUGAAGUUUUAACAUACUUGCAGGCUGCAGCAGAGGGGCAGCUUUGAUGGCUUGCCGGCGAUGCAGAUGGGCAGGAGCGGCCGGGUUGGUGGAGGCUGGACGGAACCAGCUGCAAGGAAGGCUACCGACGCCGGCGACCUAGAGCGGAGGUGGCGGAGGAGUUAGGUCGCCGGUCUAUAGCAGAUGGGAUGGAGUCAGGGUCGGUGGAGGAAGCGACGCCGGCGUCGACAAGCGGAGGGGGAUGACCGACGCCGACGAGCGGAGGAAGGUUGCCGAUGCUGGCAACCUGGAGCGGAGGUGGUGGAGGAGUGGUCGCCGGCUUGCAGCAGAUAGGAUGGAGUCGGGAUUGGUGGAGGAAGCGACGCCGGCAUCGACGAGCGGAGGUGGAUGGUCGGUGUCGACGAGCGGAGGGCGUCUGCAUCGACGAGUGGAGGGCCUCGGCGUCGCUGGCGGAAUGUGGUGGAGAGGCCAGAUUAUUUGGGGGCGCAGAAGUUUUGCCGCGGCUGAAAAAAAAAGCGCGGCAUGGACACUUCCGCGUCUUGUAGCUGCGAAAUUUUCCCGCGGUACCACCGAUUGGGAGCGCAGACUGCUUCCCUGGAUUUGGUUCACUUUUGAGCUAUAAUUGGGACUGCGGAUAUUUUAGGAGCAAGUUUAGGCCUCUGUUGGACACCUGUUUUUUAACGUAAAUCCAAAAAAGAUGUUUUGGGAGUAUGUUUGGUACACUAUUGGAGAUGCUCUAGCAGCAGUAUAUGCCUUUUCCUGAUCUCUUUCCACA